rnacentral:ncRNA from 2 species
UUCUUAUCGAGAGAGGCAGAGGGACUGGCCCGAUGAAGCCUCGGCAGCGGAUUCCAUUUUGGAAUCUAUGCCAAAUCCAGCAAGCGAAAAGCUUGAGAGAUAAGAA